AGCCAGUUAGCUCAGUUGGUGAAAGUGUGGUGCUGAUAACCCCAAGGUCAUGGGUUCGAUUCCCAUAUGGGCCA